UGAGGUAACGGCUCACCAAGGCGACGAUCUGUAGCCGGUCUGAGAGGAUGAUCGGCCACACUGGGACUGAGACAUGGUCCAGACUCCUACGGGAGUUAGCAUCAGGGAAUCUUGCGCAAUGGGCGAAAGCCUGACGCAGCGACGCCGCGUGAGGGAUGAAGGCCUGCGGGUCGUAAACCUCUGUCAGAGGGGACGAACACAAUGACGGUACCCUCUGAGGAAGCCCCGGCUAAUUACGUGCCAGCAGCCGCGGUAAUACGUAGGUGGCGAGCGUUAUCCGGAUUUACUGGGCGUAAAGAGCGCGCAGGCGGUCGUGCAAGUCGGAUGUGAAAUCCCCCGGCUUAACGGGGGAAGGUCAUUCGAUACUGCUCGACUUGAAGGCGGGAGAGGGAAGCGGAAUUCCCGGUGUAGUGGUGAAAUGCGUAGAUAUCGGGAGGAACACCAGUGGCGAAGGCGGCUUCCUGGCCCGUUCUUGACGCUGAGGCGCGAAAGCUAGGGGAGCAAACGGGAUUAGAUACCCUGGUAGUCCACGCCCUAAACGAUGUCAACUAGUUGUCGGGAGGGUAACCCUCUUGGUAACGCAGCUAACGCGUGAAGUUGACCGCCUGGGGAGUACGGUCGCAAGAUUAAAACUCAAAUGAAUUGACGG
rnacentral:rRNA from 1 species